UACGGGGGGGGCAAGCGUUGUUCGGAAUUACUGGGCGUAAAGGGCGCGUAGGCGGUUCGCUAAGUCGGAUGUGAAAACUCUGGGCUCAACCCAGAGCCUGCAUCCGAAACUGGCGGGCUAGAGUUCUGGAGGGGGUAGCGGAAUUCCUGGUGUAGCGGUGAAAUGCGCAGAUAUCAGGAGGAACACCGGUGGCGAAGGCGGGUCUCUGGGCCGAAACUGACGCUGAGGAGCGAAAGCGUGGGGAGCGAACAGG
rnacentral:rRNA from 1 species